GGGUGGCCCGAGGCGGCGAUUCCCUGGCCAGCAGUGGGACACGGGGGGCGGGCAUGUCCACAGGCUUUCUGGGUGGGCCCGAAGGCCCCUGGUGUCGGGGAGCCAUGGGCCUUUGUGCGGGAUCGCAGCCCCCCCGAGAGGCUCCCCGCCUACCGCAGGCCUCGGGGAGCAGGUAUUGCGGGGGUCAGCUGCGCCACUGGAGGCCUGUUCCGGGGGUAUCAACAUAAACUUCAAAUGCAACCAUCUUUUUUCUAGGUCAGUAUUAUAUGUUACACAUUAUUCCAUGUUACUAAACCGAAUUGGUGGUGGUGUUCUUAGUCAAGGUAUAAUUUAUGUACAGUAAAAACCGGCCUUUUAAAUGGAUAGUUUUGUAAGUUUUGACACCCAGUUCAGUAAGUUUUGACACCCACCACCACAUUCAAAAUAUAAAACAGUUGCAUUAUCCUCUUUGUAGUCAAUGGGAUUGUCUCAGUGGUUUAAGGAUUCUUUGCCAUAAAGGGAAGGAAAGUUGAUCUCUAACAAAGGAAAGCGAUACCUGAUCACAAAAUAGGUACCGGGCACGUUGGCUUUAACUUUUCUGUGCAAGGGGUCAAACUCAGUGCAACCUGUGAGAAAGUUGGUAGAUCUCUAACUUGUGGGCAGCUCCUCCUCAAAGAUUAAUGGCCUGGGGUCUCUAGCAAUGGAGACAGGCAUGUUUAUUUUGCUUCACUAAACUGCAGCGGCUAUAGAGGAAGAAAGUGGAGUGGAAAGGCUUAAACGUUAAAAUCACUGAUAUUAGGAGAUCCAGAAAUAACUUGGAUAAUGGUAAAAACAGAAACCCUGGGACAGUCGAGUCUUUCUAGAAAGAACUAAGGGAUGUCCCUGGGCAAAAUGAGAGCUAGGAACCCUACACAUAAAGAGAAGUUGUUCUUUGAAGGGACAGGGCAAGAUCCUGGCUAUGUCUGGGCUGCAGUUGCCUCUUGACAAAGAGCAGAACUUGUGGCUACAAUUUGUUCUGGGAUCUGGCAAAAGGCUGUUUGAGUGAAACCCGAAUGGAUGGCAACUUUCCAAACUGCAAAGCAAUGGAAGAAAAGUCCUCUGUUCCCUGAAGUUCUCACUUCCCUGCAAUUCAUGCUUCUUUAUUAGAGUCGGCUUUGAAUGGUUAAAUGGCAAUAAGAACAGAUCUGGUGCCAUGUCCUGGAACUUUUGGGAAGUGAAUAUACCCAAUGAAAUACCAUUUUUUAAAAU
rnacentral:lncRNA from 1 species